GCCAGGGUAGCGAAGUCUGGUUAACGCGCAGGCCUGCUAAGCCUGUGACCCGUCGGGUCGCGCGGGUUCGAAUCCCGCCCCUGGCG
rnacentral:tRNA from 1 species